GGGGGAUAUUGCACAAUGGAGGAAACUCUGAUGCAGCAACGCCGCGUGAGGGAAGAAGGUCUUCGGAUUGUAAACCUUUGUCCUUGGUGACGAAACAAAUGACGGUAGCCAAGGAGGAAGCUACGGCUAACUACGUGCCAGCAGCCGCGGUAAUACGUAGGGAGCAAGCGUUGUCCGGAACUACUGGGUGUAAAGGGCGUGUAGGCGGGAAUGUAAGUCAGGCGUGAAAACUAUGGGCUUAACCCAUAGACUGCGUUUGAAACUGUGGGGCUUGAGUGAAGUAGAGGUAGGCGGAAUUCCCGGUGUAGCGGUGAAAUGCGUAGAGAUCGGGAGGAACACCAGUGGCGAAGGCGGCCUACUGGGCUUUAACUGACGCUGAAGCACGAAAGCAUGGGUAGCAAAC
rnacentral:rRNA from 1 species